rnacentral:rRNA from 1 species
AUUGAACGCUGGCGGCAUGCCUUACACAUGCAAGUCGAACGGUAACAGGUCUUCGGAUGCUGACGAGUGGCGAACGGGUGAGUAAUACAUCGGAACGUGCCCGAUCGUGGGGGGAUAACGAAGCGAAAGCUUUGCUAAUACCGCAUACGAUCUACGGAUGAAAGCAGGGGACCGCAAGGCCUUGCGCGAACGGAGCGGCCGAUGGCAGAUUAGGUAGUUGGUGGGAUAAAAGCUUACCAAGCCGACGAUCUGUAGCUGGUCUGAGAGGACGACCAGCCACACUGGGACUGAGACACGGCCCAGACUCCUACGGGAGGCAGCAGUGGGGAAUUUUGGACAAUGGGCGAAAGCCUGAUCCAGCCAUGCCGCGUGCAGGAUG